UUAAACCUGCUGUGUUUGUGAUGGCAUCAUUCGUUUUGAGCCAACAAUCACAUAUAGGGAGACCAACAUCUCGUGUGGAGGUGAUAGGCCCUGAGCCAAGACCAAAGCAACGAUGCGGUCACCCACCUGCGAGAGCAGGUUCAAAACUUUUUUGUCCACACGGCAUAGCGGGUGGUCA
rnacentral:other from 1 species